GACGUAGGGGCCGAGCGUUGUCCGGAGUUAUUGGGCGUAAAGCGCGCGCAGGCGGCUUCGCGCGCCCGACGUGAAAGCCCCCGGCUUAACCGGGGAGAGUCGUUGGGGACGGCGGGGCUUGAGGGCGGGAGAGGUCGGUGGAAUUCCCGGUGUAGUGGUGAAAUGCGUAGAGAUCGGGAGGAACACCUGUGGCGAAGGCGGCCGACUGGGCCGACCCUGACGCUGAGGCGCGAAGGCGUGGGGAGCGAACGGGAUUGAGA
rnacentral:rRNA from 1 species